rnacentral:rRNA from 1 species
AAAUUGAAGAGUUUGAUCAUGGCUCAGAUUGAACGCUGGCGGCAGGCCUAACACAUGCAAGUCGAACGGUAGCACAGAGAGCUUGCUCUCGGGUGACGAGUGGCGGACGGGUGAGUAAUGUCUGGGAAACUGCCUGAUGGAGGGGGAUAACUACUGGAAACGGUAGCUAAUACCGCAUAACGUCGCGAGACCAAAGUGGGGGACCUUCGGGCCUCAUGCCAUCAGAUGUGCCCAGAUGGGAUUAGCUUGUAGGUGAGGUAACGGCUCACCUAGGCGACGAUCCCUAGCUGGUCUGAGAGGAUGACCAGCCACACUGGAACUGAGACACGGUCCAGACUCCUACGGGAGGCAGCAGUGGGGAAUAUUGCACAAUGGGCGCAAGCCUGAUG